GGCUCGGGUGAUUCUUCCACCUUGACCUCCCUAAGUGCUGGGAUUACAGGUGUGAGCCUCUGUGCCCAGCCCCAGCUGACUGUCUUGCAGUUAACCCGGUCCCUCCAUCAGGAUUGUGAGGUGGGCAAUCCUCGUUUAUUCAGGAAUACACACGGCCAGGAAACAGCAAAGAUCCUCAAACAGAAAUCCAUAGACAACCCCAAACCUCCCUAUAGCCAGCACCAUCCCCCCUUUCCCCAGCAGCAUCUAGUUUACUGUAAUCCAGUUUUAUUGAGCAUCCAAGGUACAGAGAUCAUUGAUUUAGCCCCACGCUUUCAGGUGCUUCUGGUGAUAUAAAGGAUGGAGACAGUCAUACAAAUAACCGCAAUAAGAGACAGAAAGGGACAAAGUGCUGUAAGCUCAGAGAAGGGUUGGAACUUCAUUUGGUGGGGUGAAGCAGGAAGGGCUUCAUGGAGGAGGUAACAUUUGAGAUGGGCACUGAAGGUUGGCUAGAUUUGGAUGGGAAGGUCACUCCCAGUAGAGAGAGUGGUGGGAGCAAAGGCAAGAAGGUUGCAAUGCAAGGGCUGCAUGGGGGUGGAAUAGUUCCCUCUACGUGACUAUAGGAGCACAGGGAAAAAGUGAGUUAGGAGCCUGACCUUGAAUGACCUUGGUCAUAAGGAGUGUAGAUUUUAGUUUCAUUUUCAUUGGUCAGUACAGCCAAGCCUUUGAAGAGUUUCUGCAGGAGAAUGUGGUUACUGGAGUUGGUUGCACCAGAGCAAACUGGACUGGGAACUGGGAAGGGGGUAAGCGGGAGGUACAGUCAGGACAUUAUUGUCAUCACGUGGGCAGCAGCAGUUACAGAGGCGAGCAAGGUGGAGACAGGGUGGAAAGGAAGGUGAGAAUCCAGAUGCCUGAGCUGUGUUGGGGGUUUCUGUCUCCAGUUCCUCCUCCCCUUCUUCCUCUAGUGAGGCAUCUGCCCCCAAAUUCCAGCAAAACCUCUCCUAUUCUCCAGGCCACCAAUGACAUCCACAUCGAUAAUUCCAGUGAUCGCUUCUCAAUCCUCAUCUUGCUGACCUACCAGCAGGACAGGCCAUACUUGGUCUGCCCUUCAUCAAUAAGCUCUCCCCUCCCAGUCCAGUCUCUCCUGGGUCACCACUAUAUCCUGGUUUUCCUCCCACCUCUCUGGCCUCUCUGCCUUUCCUGGAUCUAUCUCACGUUCCUGGCCUUGAAACCCUCCUUUUCGGUGUUACAGCUUUAAAUACCAUGUACAUGCUGGUGAUGCUUUAGCUCCAGCCUGAACCUCCUUGACAUCCAUGCUCCUUCUAUUUUCCACCUGAUCCUUCACUUGGCUAACCAGUGGCUCACCUUGGCAUAGUCCCAAAGGGGCUCUAUCUUGUUUCCCACUCCUCCUUAAGACCCCUGGAUUUGCUGUUUCUCUGCCCAAAUGCUCUUCUCCCAGCAGCCUCGUGGCUGGCUCAUGCUUCUCCUGAUGCUCUUCGCCCUGACUCACCCUAUCCAAAAUUGCAGCCUCCCAUACUGCCUGGAUCCUUUGUCUGCUUUCUUUUUCCCCGGCUUUAUCGACACUUAGCACACCAUACAUUGUACUUAUUUAUGUUUCUCAUUUGGUUGCCUCCAAGAUGGAAAUGAUCUUUCUUUUGUUUUAGUUACUGUUUUUGUAGCUCCUGCGAGUGCUUGGUACAUGGCAGGCACUCAACACAUAUUUGUUGAAUAAAUGAGAGUGAAUGCAUGAAUAGAAAACUGAACUUUGUCACUCUUUCAACUUGGGGAGCAAAACCAUGUGAAAGGUCACUGAUGAAGUUCCAGUGUGGAUGCCUGGAAGAUCCAAGAGAACAACUCCCACAGAUUUGGAAACACAGAGGAGAAGAGGUUUAAAAGGAGUGUCAGUUCAGACUGGGACAUUUUUGGUUUGGGUGACUUGAGGAAUGUCUUAUGAUAAGUCCAUCAGGCUUUGGGAGAUGAGGGUCUGGAGAGGAGCAGGGCAGGAGAUAGACCUGGGAAUUGUCCACAUGGAGGUAGUAACUUAAGCCAUGAGAAGAGGAAGAGAAGGAGGAAGAGGAGAAAGAGACAGAGACAGAGACAGAGAGAGAGAGAGAGAGAAAGAGAGAGAGAGACAGAGAGAGAGAGAGAGGGAGAGAAAGAGAGAGAGAGAGAGAGAGAGGGAGAGAAAGAGAGAGACAGAGAGAGAGAGAGAGAAAGAGAGAGAGAGAGACAGAGAGAGAGAGAGAGACAGAGAGAGAGAGAGAGAGGGAGACAGAGAGAGAGAGAGAGAGAAAGAGAGAGAGAGAGGAGAGAGAGAGAGAGAGAGAGGGAGAGAGAGAGAGAGAGCUCACCAAGAACAACUGAUUGGGGAACACCUACUUUUAGGGGAGGAGAAAAAAAUAGGAAUAUUUCAAGAGUGUGAGAGUAACCAGAAGAUUGAAAUACCAUGAAAACCAAAGACAGAGUUUGAAGACAGAAGAAAUCAUUGAUAAUACUGAAGGCAGCACCCUAAGGGGGAGAAAGAAGACUGGGAAUUGGUGAUUAGAUGUGACCACGUGGAGAUCUGCCAUCCUACUGCCCACACAUCCCGAUGAGCAGGUAAGCCCUUUCCUCGGAGAGGAGGAAAGCCUUUCUCCAAGGACUAGUGUUGGCAGUGGGCAAAAGGGCGCGCGGAAACGUGGGCUCCCCUCCCUUCCAAUGGGGAACUGGACAGCAAGGCCGCAGAACUGCGAGGGAGGGGGCCUGGAGCCCUGGUAAAAGGGCACAUCCGAAAAGGUAGGUUCUGGGGGCACCUGGCCAGAAAGAGGAUGAGGUUAUCGCAGCCAGCUCAAACACCAAGGCAGAGGACCUGGAAGAGUUGAACCCCUGUGGGACUCUGUGCUUUGAGUGGGCCUGGGAGAAGGUGACCUUCCCCUGGAAGCACUAAGGGCUCAGGAGGCCUUGUCCCCAGGAGGCCCCCGUGAAGUGAAGGCCACUCUCCUAAGAGGUGACGGGAGGGCUCUGCGCUGUCAACAGUCCAGGUACCCAAGACUUGCAGCCCAGCUGGGAACUUUGUAGGGGAUAGGGGAGGAGGAACAGAAGUGGCACUGGGCACUGCGGAGGGGGCUGGGCAGGGAGGAACACAGGAACAGGCUAAUGGCAGUGGCUGACCUUUUUCCCAUUCUGGCCUAAGGUCAGCCUUACAAGGGACCCAACAGGGACUCUCUUGCCCUCUUUAGGCCCCACUGGGUCACAGCUAGGUGCUGCAGUCUACUUACCAGGGACUGUGUCUUGAGUCUUAGGUAAGCUCAUGCUUGUUUUUCCUGCCCAAUUCAAGUCCUAUAAAUGAUUUCUUAGAGAUUCUACAGCCUGAGCUCUCCAGAAGCUCACUGUUUUGACAAGUGUUCUCUCCCAGAAAAUGGUCAGAAAGCGGCCUUUGCGUUCUUACCCCACGGACCCCUUUGAACAUGGCUCUGAGGGCCAACCCCGGGAAAGCUAGUGUCAGAAUUCCGGAUACUCAUGCUCACCAGGAACACUUUUACCAGGGGCUUCAACAUUUCACAAGUGCCUGAUGAAUGCCUGGACUUCAGAGCAGGUUAAAAGCAUAUUAAUCUAGCAACUAUGUCAUUGAUGUAAUUCGUUCCAGUGUGGUGGUUUUAAGAAAGGACACAUAAAUAUUCACAGUGGCUCUGUCCAAUUGUGCCUCUCCCGUGUACUCGUAACCCUGGAGGAGGAGGCAGGAAUUCUAGGUGCUGCCGACAGCUUCCCGGCAACAUGCCAUCUACUGUAAGUGGAAAAAGACAAGCCGCAAAAAAAUCAAAGAUGAAAUGAUGACCUGCUUCCCAGGUAUCUCCUCUGCCCCGGGGGAUGGGCUGAGCACAUCAAGAGGAAGCUGAGUACUAAAGAAAAAGGGAAAAUUCUCCAGGAACCUGAGAUGACCUGGGCGGAAUGAAAUGGCAUGGGGAAAAAUGCCACCGGGUUUGCACAGGGCAGGGUCACACGGUCUGGAUUUUGACAGCACGUUUCUGAGAAGCAUUCUGGGAAUUCAUUCUUGAGUCUCCUUAACUCUCACACAAGUUGAGGGCCAGGCAUACAAAGAUGCCUUUUCAGGAAUAGACUCACAGGGAUUAUACACAUUUUAUAUAAAAGCAGUAAUUCUCAAGUUUAAUAAAAGAAUAAAACAGCAGAUGGGUAAGAAUAAAUGUGCAUCCUCUUAGUAAGCUUAAGCUGUGUGUUUUGUGCAGACUUUAAUUUUUUUGUUUUUGAAAUGGAGUCUCGCUCUGUCACGCAGGCUGGAGUGCAAUGGCAUGAUCUUGGUUCACUGCAACCUCUGCCUCCUGGGUUCAAGCAAUUCUCCUACCUCAGCUUCCCAAGUAGCUGGGACUACAGGCAUGUGCCACCACGCCCAGCUAAUUUUUGUUGUUGUAUUUUUAGUAGAGACGGGGUUUUGUCAUGUCGGUCAGGCUGGUCUUGAUCUCCUCAUCUCAUGUGAUCCACCCGCCUUGGCCUCCCAGAGUCUGGGAUUACAGGCUUGAACCACCGUGCCCAGCCAGGCUUUAAUGUUUUUAAAAGUGCAGAGCUUUUAGGGAGAUGAAGGAAAUGAACCUACUAUAAAUCUGCAGGCAUUUAGACCCCUUGAAACAAUUAAGACAGUGCAUUCACAAAGCAGCUUUCAAUCAAACAACCCAUAAUACUUAUGUAGAAAAUGUUCCAGCUUCCAUAAUUCUUUAUUAAAUAUUUGACAAAUUGCAUCACUUCUUUACAAUGACUUCAUUUUGUCACAUUUGUCUUUUGCUGUCAGGAAAACAAUCUACAGUUUCUCUUUAGAUCUCUCAAGAAAAAGAAAAGCGAAAAGGAUUUGUUCUCAAAGAAAACUUUUCCUGUGUGUAUCAAAUUCAACCAUAUUUUAAAGCUAUUCUGAUUGUGAAAAUGAGCAUUAUCCGUAAGUUGUCUUAAAAAAACUUCAAGGUAGUUUGGUUUUUCAUUGUAUCAAAUAGGACUUGGCUUCCUAUUAGGAGGUGGGUUUA